GUUCGCGCGGGACGGGCCGGCGCUGUCGGGCCGGCACCGGGACCCGCGCGGCCUGCCGGGACUGCAGCGGGACAUACCGGGACUGCGGGCCGGGGAGCCCCACGGGCUGGUCGGCCUCAGCCGCGACUCUCCCGGCCUGCUGGAGCAGCGCCGCCCAACACCGCCCGUCAUAGACGAGAGCCCCGAGGCGCUUCCAGAGCCGGCGCCUGAUGUGUACCCGGGCCGCCUGGCGGACAUCCUAGCGAGUUCGCGGUUACCAGUCGCUCCGCUAGAUGUCAAUGAGGAGUCUGAGCUUGCAAACAUCGCACCCAGCUACGUUUAGUGCUGUCUGUAGAGCGCGCCCUCCCAGGACAGACGGGGCAGACGCCGAGGCCGGGAAUGAGAGUCUGAACGAGAGUCUGGAGAGCGUGGUGUGACGAGGCUCAUCGCUCACAGUGAUCUCAGCAAGACCGCGCUCCGAGGGCCCGCCCAGUGACCCAGUGAUCUGAACUGUGUCGCCGUCUCUCCCCGGGGUCACUGGACGAUGUCACCGCCGCGUGCUCCGUCGCCUCUUGUCAGUGACGCGUUCUGUUCGAACUCCCGCUGUUCCGGUAGGGUCGGUGUCAAAUCGCGUGGGACAGAGAGGGUUGUCGCUGUUGUUUGUUACAGGGCGGUCUUGGUUCUUCGUGUCUCAUCGUGUGUUUGUAUCCUGCUGGGAUGUUCCAUGUGCUGGUUUUGUUUGUUGGGCUAAACUGUGCGCAAUUUGGGUCGCUCUGCGGCGUUCUAUGCAUUCCAUGUGCGAAGUUUACUCAAGCGGCCACGAAUAGGGGCCGCCAGACGCUUGCCAGCAUCACACAGUCAUCUGCAUUUUAUAGAGGACCAACUGGGCUGCAUGUUCUGAAGAAUUACCGUUCAGAGCGCUCUGCUCUGGCUGCUGAUGCAAUGUGCACUGUAUAUGUGGGGCAUAUCAUUCCAUACAUCUGAUAGGAGGCAUACAACUUGUAAAUAUUUCUUGAAGACGGUUGUUUUGCAAAGUGCAGUUAACACGUGGUUGUUGUCCGGUAUGUUGCAGACAUCGUCCGCGUUUGUCUAACUUUGGCUUUGACCGGACGUAGACCUCAUGCGUGAACAAUGACCAUGACGAUGGCGAUGGGUGUUUUCAAUUCGUGUAUUUAUCGCCUACUCAGUGUUCGCAUUCCUUUAGCGUUGCUGCCUCGUUGGCAUGUGUCGUACCCGUCAAAUAAAUAUUGUCUGCUUGCAAUG